UCAAUCUGGUUUCUCUUCAGAUCGUAUAAAUCUUUCGCCUUUUACUAAAGAUUUCCGUGGAGAGGAGCAUUUAUGAGUUUUCAUCGGUAGGACAAGGUUGGCAACUUAAACCCCUGGGAG